rnacentral:rRNA from 1 species
UACGUAGGGUGCGAGCGUUAAUCGGAAUUACUGGGCGUAAAGCGUGCGCAGGCGGUUCGUUAUGUCCGAUGUGAAAGCCCCGAGCUCAACUUGGGAAUGGCAUUGGAAACUGGCGGGCUGGAGUGUGGCAGAGGGGGGUGGAAUUCCACGUGUAGCAGUGAAAUGCGUAGAGAUGUGGAGGAACACCGAUGGCGAAGGCAGCCCCCUGGGUCAAAACUGACGCUCAUGCACGAAAGCGUGGGGAGCAAACAGG